UUACAGUUCCGCAGAUGGUAUUUCAGC
rnacentral:piRNA from 1 species